rnacentral:lncRNA from 1 species
GAGGGAGCAAGCUACCUGUUUGUUCCAACUAACAAACCCAUGAGAAUCAGAGAUGUCAUCUUUAUUUCUGAAUACCACACAAAUUUAUUAAUUCUCCAAAUCAAAUUAAAAGAUGAUGAGUAUUACGAACCUGCUAAUACCUCGAUGCUAUAAAAUCCUCAUCUUAUAGAUUGCUUCCUUUGUCCAACGAUAUAAACAGAACUUGUCUUGGCUGUCAAGUAAUGGCCAGUGCGUAUGAAGUGAGCCACUACCUGCUGUCUUAACAUAGUCUGCAGAUUUCAUCCAUCUCUGAGAAUUUCCAUUGACCAAGUUAGUUGUCUAAAGCAGCAAUAAACUAAGGGAUAGUCACUUACUGUUUUGCUUGACGUUCAAACAAUGUGAUGUGAUCUUCCAUCAAUGUGUCCAAACCUAGCUUUAGCCUCCUCUGGUUUAAGCCUCUCUAGACCGAAUAAAGCAAUUUCGCAACUACUAUGAGACUGAUACCAUUUGCUUAAUGAGAGAGAAUAACUGAGAAACUGCAACUAGUAUCUAUCUGCAUCAUUUAAGUACUUAG